GGUUAUGGCUCAGUGGUAGAGCACUUGUUUUGCAUGCAUGAGGCACUGGGUUCGAUCCUCAGCACCA
rnacentral:tRNA from 1 species